GCCAAACAAAAAAAUAUGAGCGAAGAGUGACUUCUACGAAAACUGACUUCACCGUGAGAUUGGGGCCAGCCUGCAGAGCCCCAUACCAAGAUGUGCUGAAACCAGUAACUUUCACAUAGAUGCUACUGACCCUCAACACCUCAUGCAUGCAGCAGAUGGCUUCUUAACAAGGCCUAACAGCAGACGACCACUGAAUGAAUGAACGGUCCACCUGCCCCCGUG